GACGUAGGGUGCGAGCGUUGUCCGGAAUUAUUGGGCGUAAAGAGCUCGUAGGCGGUCUGUCGCGUCGAUCGUGAAAACUUGGGGCUUAACCCUGAGCUUGCGGUCGAUACGGGCAUGACUGGAGUUCGGCAGGGGAGACUGGAAUUCCUGGUGUAGCAGUGAAAUGCGUAGAUAUCAGGAGGAACACCGAUGCGAAGGCAGGUCUCUGGGCUGACACUGACGCUCAUGCACGAAAGCGUGGGGAGCAAAG
rnacentral:rRNA from 1 species